UCUUUCAGACCCAUGCUCUCUCGGGUCCUCACCACUCAGGAGGUCACGGCCCUCCACCUGUGAUGUUGCUUCAUGCCCCACCACCCCCUCAGCAGGGUUCUGGCCCCCAGCAUGGGCAUCCUCCACCCCAGCAGGGACCCCACCAGCACUACACCUACAUUGGACCACCUCAGGUGUCAGUGCAGGCUCAUCCUUCCCAGCAGAUUCCAUUCCACCCUCCUGGAAACUGACAGAGCGGCUGAGACUGAAACUGUGUGGAUCACCACAGAGUGACAGAGAGCGCCCCCAUCUGGAUCUCCUGUGUGAUCGCAUAUGCGUUUGUACAUAAAAUCCAACUGAACAGAUUUUGUUUUAGAUACCUCUGGCAAGACUGAAUGUGCUUGUUUUAUUGGGGGUUUUUUUUCCUUUUUAUUUUUAAUUU